GGGGGUUGAAAUGGUAGCUGCUUAAGGCCUGUGGACCUUUGGCAGGGCUGUAAAAAUACAAAUAAUAAUAAAAGGAGAGAGACAUUGUGACCCAGGCAGCAGUGGUAUGCCUGUGCAUGCAAGUCCAUCCGGGGUCUGACUAACUGUCUCACAAUGUCCACAUGGAACUUGUAAAGAUUUGCAAUAAUCCUUUAUUGAAACAAAACAGAGAACUUUACAGAUAGAAAUGGCUCAUACAGCAGGACCUUGGGAGGGGAGACAAGCCAAUGCAUAACUCUAUAUGGAGAGCCAAUAGCAUGGGCAGGCUCCAGAAAUAAACCAGUUUUCACAUUUUAGUAGGCACGCAUUAAAAGUAUAAAACUCAGUGAAUCCAACAAGCGUGAGCUCUUCUGGAGUUUCCUCCAGAUGCCUGCUGUUAAAUUAAGCAGCCUUCCAGAUGGAGCAGGAGAUCUUAACCAGUGCUGUGGCCACGCUCUCUCAUGCAAGGACCCCGUGUAGCCCUCCUUUCUAGUUUUCCUCUACAGGGACAAAGAAGUUACUGUAACACAUUGAUCAGAAGCUAGAUUCGUAUGGAGAGAAGCAUCUUGUGAACUACAGCCCAUAUUCAUAAUUUUAAGAGCAAUCUCACUGCUGCUGCCUUGUGCUGCUCCUGCAGGAUUACCAUAUCGCAUCAGCUGCUAUUGCACACCAGUGAGUUACAGCUCUUUGGCGCACUGACCUUAACUUCAGGACGUUUACAGAAGCAAGUCUGGAUUGUCAAACUCUACAAGAGGCAUUACUGGUAUAAUCUACACUGUAACUGGUAUUCAGCAUUUUAUUUGAGUGUAGAAUGAUGUAUUUUGAUCACUUGAAACGAAAUCAUUUUUGCAAUUCAGUGGUUGAACUGUUAAAACAAUGUUUCUAUUAGCACAGAGAAAAGCCAUCUCUUCCUUACAAUACAGACUUAAGAAAAUCUUAAAAGAACACUUAAAAACGUGUUCUUUAGAUUUUGCAGACCGACCCUAAAACUUUCCAUCACAGGUUUGGAGUUUAAAGGGGGAUAUUUAUGGUUUGAUCUGAGAAUAGACAACUACUCACAUUGUCCUGCAGCCACCACAGUGCCAUUUCUACACAGACACAUAGAUGCCCAUGGCAUGUAGGAGGUGCUCUGGGCUGAAGGGUGCUAUAAAUUCAUGCCCCAGUGCACAACCAGAAUAUGGAAACAACAGUCCCUUUAGGGUAGCCUACAAGGAACCACAUCAGUUUUUCAAUGGUUAAUAACAAUAGUGGUUAACUGAGGUGGUACAUUGUACAUAAUCGUGAAUAGUGAAAAGAUAUUUUGUAAGGAAGAGCCCCUGAACUUUGAUGGUGGCAUCAUUUUUUUUCUGCAGUUUUUGUAUUUGAAAGGCAGGGCUGCUGGAAUGCUGAUGCCAGUCACACAAUUUACUGGCUGUGGUUUACAUGCACAUAAUUCUUCCUUCUUUAUUUUGCAGAAACAGUCAAGCUUCAAAGCUGUGGAAUGUGUGGGAAUUAGCUUUUAGUUUCCUAAAUUCACUUGAAUCAUCUUUUAGCUUCCUAAUUAUUCUCUUAGUCAUGACUUAGAAAGAAACCAUACAAAUAUGAAGGGCUUUGUUUGGUUCCAAUGCUGAGUUGGGCUAGUAGUACCAUGAAAAACUAAGAAAUGUUGAGGCUGUCUUUCUACCUUGAAUUCCACAGGAACUGUAGAUGCUUCAUAGUGACACGGGCUUUGAUUUGAAAUUACGUUACAUAAAGCAGAAGGGAAAAACUGAGUCUAUCUCACAGCUACAGCUGCUGUAAUUCUAUGAUGGAAAGAUCUAGAAGUAGAGAAAAAGACUGCCAAAAGCCCAGGUGCUAAAGCCCCCUUUAAUUCAUGUCUUAAUAUCUUCUGCCAAGACUCUCCUGGAAAGCAACAAAAGCUUGCUAUGGUGAUCCCAAAUGAGAUGCACGAUAAAAAAAAACCUGCUUAAAUAUAGCAGUAAGAAAACAGACGGAAAUCUCAAAUGGGUUGUUACUCUUACAGUGUUGCAAGAGCUUUAAUAUUCACUGAAAGUUGCUGUCUCCAGCUGUCAUUCAGGACUUUCAUUUCCAUUCAGGAGAAAAGGAUGAAAAUCGAGCAAUUUCAAAAAUAAGAAUGCUAUUCUGGGUUAUGGAGAUGUGUGAGUGACAAUGCACUCAAAAGGUCAGCCAAGAGGAUGGUCCAGGUCCUGAAAAUGAAUGAGCCACAAACCUCUCUGGAAGUUCAUACUCUUCUAAUUGUUCCAAAUUACAGCUUCAAAGCUGGGGCAUUUAUGCAUCUAAUUUCAAGCCUACUUGCUUGAAAAACUUCUGUUUUCCAGAAGUUCUGCUGACUAAGUUUGGCCAAUAUGCAAGAUGAUAUUUUGCUACAGUCAUGGUUUUGUCUUUGUGUACAGCAUCUGUGUGUUUUGUUCACUCAUUUACUAUAGUUGUUGCAAACUCUCUCUGCUCUGGAACAUCCAAGACUUCCCUGGCAGUAGUUUUUUCAGAAGUUUAACAGAUUUCAAAAUUUCAUGGCAUUUUGCAUUGAAGCUGCUACCAACUACCAGAAAUAAAAAGAAAGUUUAUUGUUUGAGGAUUAAGCUGGGAUGAUGAUAAUAAUUAGAUUUAGAGUUUCUGAAAACUUAUAUGUGAACAAGGAGAUAAACAGGUAAUUAGUGAUAACUUUAUAAAUCAAAGGCUAGAGUGCCAUAUUAUAUGACGUUGAAGAGUUGGCAUCUAAAACUACCUCUACCUGAAAGAUGAUAUGUCAAUAACUGAUAGUUGGCAGCACCCAGGGAGACACUUCAAUACCUGAAAUCCUUUCCAAGACAGUGCUGAAUGCUGGGAUAAAAGAUGAAACCAUCUGGCUACACAUAGCUAAGAAGAGCCUUGGUGCUUGGUUAUGGCUGGAAAUAUGAAGGACAGUGUCCCCACUGAUAUGUGCUGCCCCUGGAAGCCCACUGUAAGUGUUUGGGGCAGUUCUCUGUAGUACAAAAAUGCAUACUUCCUUUACUUAGGCUGUGCCUCUUCCUCCCUCCAGUUCCCCUGCAUAGAAAAGCAAUAG
ensembl:lncRNA